GAGUCAUUCCUUCUUCCAUGAAUCCAGUCAAACCAGAGUCGCCCUCUCAGAUUGUCCCUUUCCCGGGAUGCUCUCCUAUUGAAGUCAGUAAUCGGUUCUCCAGUCUUGGAACCACAGUUGGCCAAAUUCGCCCCAAUUACUAGUAUGCCUUGGUCUCCAGUUAUGAUCCUUUCCAGAUCAUUCCUUCAGUUUCUCAGUCUUCCCAGUCGCCUACUCCUUCUAGAAAGUCAUCUCCUUACCUCCCCAAAGAUAAGUCUCACCUCUUCAUAAUUGAACCAGUUUAUGAUGGUAUUCCUGACCCAAUUACAAUUGUC
rnacentral:lncRNA from 1 species